UACGGAGGGUGCAAGCGUUAAUCGGAAUUACUGGGCGUAAAGGGUGCGUAGGUAGUUUUUUAAGAUAUCUGUGAAAUACCUGGGCUUAACCUGGGAAGGUCAGAUAAGACUGGAAGACUUGAGUAUAGGAGAGGGUAGUGGAAUUUCCGGUGUAGCGGUGAAAUGCGUAGAGAUCGGAAGGAACACCAGUGGCGAAGGCGGCUACCUGGCCUAAUACUGACACUGAGGCACGAAAGCGUGGGGAGCAAACAGG
rnacentral:rRNA from 1 species